rnacentral:rRNA from 1 species
GGACCAGGGAGUCUAGCAUAUUUACAAGUCAUAGAGUUUUAUUUAAACUCUUAGGCGCAAUUAACGUAAAUUUUAUUGAUAUAUAUAUAUAUAAUAAUAUUUCAAUAAAUAAGGGAAGAUGGUUAGAUAAUAUUUUAAAACUAAUCCGCAUUCCUAGGGCGUUCCAUGUAAAUUUUUUAAUUAUUUUUUUUUUUAAUUAUAAAAUUUGGGGCGCACCAAGAGUAUAUAUGCUGGGACCCGAAAGAUGGUGAACUAUGC